rnacentral:rRNA from 1 species
GGUUUUUUGUUAUUAAAUAAAAAAUCUGGCCUGCCCACUGAAAAUGUAUAAUUGAAGGGCUGCAGUAUAUUGACUGUACAAAGGUAGCAUAAUCAUUAGUCUUUUAAUUGAGGACUGGAAUGAAAGGUCUAACAAGCUUUAACUGUCUCUAGGAUAUUUUAUUAAAUUAUUUUUUUUGUGAAAAAACAAAAAUGUAAUAAAGGGACAAGAAGACCCUAUCAAACUUGUAUUUAUUUAAUGUACAAUUUAAGUUAAUAAAGAUAGUAUUUUAGUUAAAUUUUACUGGGGCGGUGAGUAUGAAACGUUAUUUGUAUUUAAUAUUAUUAAUAGCUUAAUAUAAGGAUCCAAGAGUGAUUGAUAGUAAGAGAGAGUUACUGUAGGGAUAACAGCGUAAUAUUUUUUGAGAGUUCAUAUUGACAAAAAUGUUUGCGACCUCGAUGUUGGAUUAAGAAGUCUUACUGGUGCAGUAGUCAGUAUAAAGAUAGUCUGUUCGACUAUUAAAUUCUU